GCGUAUAGCUCAGUCGGUAGAGCGGCGGUCUCCAAAACCGUAGGUCGAGGGUUCGAGUCCUUCUGCGCC
rnacentral:tRNA from 1 species